ACGCUUCUUUUCUACCGAGUGCUUGCACUCAUUUGAAAAGAGGAGUGGCGGACGGGUGAGUAACACGUGGGUAACCUGCCCAUCAGAGGGGGAUAACACUUGGAAACAGGUGCUAAUACCGCAUAAUAGUCGACACCGAAUGGUGUUGAUUUGAAAGACGCCUUCGGGUGUCACUGAUGGAUGGACCCGCGGUGCAUUAGCUAGUUGGUGAGGUAACGGCUCACCAAGGCGAUGAUGCAUAGCCGACCUGAGAGGGUGAUCGGCCACACUGGGACUGAGACACGGCCCAGACUCCUACGGGAGGCAGCAGUAGGGAAUCUUCGGCAAUGGACGAAAGUCUGACCGAGCAACGCCGCGUGAGUGAAGAAGGUUUUCGGAUCGUAAAACUCUGUUGUUAGAGAAGAACAAGUAGGAGAGUAACUGCUCUUACCUUGACGGUAUCUAACCAGAAAGCCACGGCUAACUACGUGCCAGCAGCCGCGGUAAUACGUAGGUGGCAAGCGUUGUCCGGAUUUAUUGGGCGUAAAGCGAGCGCAGGCGGUUUCUUAAGUCUGAUGUGAAAGCCCCCGGCUCAACCGGGGAGGGUCAUUGGAAACUGGGAGACUUGAGUGCAGAAGAGGAGAGUGGAAUUCCAUGUGUAGCGGUGAAAUGCGUAGAUAUAUGGAGGAACACCAGUGGCGAACGCGACUCUCUGGUCUGUAACUGACGCUGACGCUCGAAAGCGUGGGGAGCAAACAGGAUUAGAUACUCCUGGUAGUCUACGCCGUAACGAUGAGUGCUAAGUGUUGGAGGGUCUCUGCUCUUCAGUGCUGCAGCAAACGCAUUAAGCACU
rnacentral:rRNA from 1 species